GGAUGUGAGGGCAACCUGGCUGUGACCUCUGUCACCCAUUGGUCGCCAGGGUUGACUGGGCUGUCCUGGCUGGCUAGGCGGGACUCCCCUUCCUCCCUCCCUGCUCCGUGUGCAACCCUCAUGAAGCUGCGCGCUCUGUCGAAGGGGACGACCAUCCCCAAUAGAGGAGGACCUUUCCUCAGUCAAGGGUGUAGGAGUAGCUGCGCUCCCCCUGCUGGAAGCUCUAAACAAGCUCUCAGGGUCCAUAUAUGUGCACAUACUUAGAAACAAAGAAGCCAAAUAGCAGUGGAGUUAAAGGUUGAAAGAUCUGAUGCUG
rnacentral:snRNA from 1 species